UAGAUGAGGAUGAUGCAAUAGUAAAACUAUCCAACACUUGAUCUGAGACAUUAUCUGUUGAGUGAUGCUAAACCUUUGCUUCUGAAUCUUG